GCAAGAUAUUAACUUACAUCUUUUGAAUGCAACUCAGACCCUUUAAAUUAAGAUA
rnacentral:tRNA from 1 species